UACAAGCUGCAAUGUACGUAUUUUAUUUAGUUUUAACCUCUAAUGAAUGAAUAGGGAGUUUUAUAUCGAAGCUUUAAUGUCGUGCCGUCUUCGAGCGGAAGACAGGACAGUUUCUGCAAACACCCACUUAGCGAAGUGGUGGUUUAAAACUUUUUAUUACAAAAUACGGCAAUUGUGGCCUGUAA
rnacentral:other from 3 species